rnacentral:rRNA from 1 species
GAUGAACGCUGGCGGCGUGCCUAAUACAUGCAAGUCGAGCGAACGGACGAGAAGCUUGCUUCUCUGAUGUUAGCGGCGGACGGGUGAGUAACACGUGGAUAACCUACCUAUAAGACUGGGAUAACUUCGGGAAACCGGAGCUAAUACCGGAUAAUAUUUUGAACCGCAUGGUUCAAAAGUGAAAGACGGUCUUGCUGUCACUUAUAGAUGGAUCCGCGCUGCAUUAGCUAGUUGGUAAGGUAACGGCUUACCAAGGCAACGAUGCAUAGCCGACCUGAGAGGGUGAUCGGCCACACUGGAACUGAGACACGGUCCAGACUCCUACGGGAGGCAGCAGUAGGGAAUCUUCCGCAAUGGGCGAAAGCCUGACGGAGCAACGCCGCGUGAGUGAUGAAGGUCUUCGGAUCGUAAAACUCUGUUAUUAGGGAAGAACAUAUGUGUAAGUAACUGUGCACAUCUUGACGGUACCUAAUCAGAAAGCCACGGCUAACUACGUGCCAGCAGCCGCGGUAAUACGUAGGUGGCAAGCGUUAUCCGGAAUUAUUGGGCGUAAAGCGCGCGUAGGCGGUUUUUUAAGUCUGAUGUGAAAGCCCGGGGCUCAACCGUGGAGGGUCAUUGGAAACUGGAAAACUUGAGUGCAGAAGAGGGAAGUGGAAUUCCAUGUGUAGCGGUGAAAUGCGCAGAGAUAUGGAGGAACACCAGUGGCGAAGGCGACUUUCUGGUCUGUAACUGACGCUGAUGUGCGAAAGCGUGGGGAUCAAACAGGAUUAGAUACCCUGGUAGUCCACGCCGUAAACGAUGAGUGCUAAGUGUUAGGGGGUUUCCGCCCCUUAGUGCUGCAGCUAACGCAUUAAGCACUCCGCCUGGGGAGUACGACCGCAAGGUUGAAACUCAAAGGAAUUGACGGGGACCCGCACAAGCGGUGGAGCAUGUGGUUUAAUUCGAAGCAACGCGAAGAACCUUACCAAAUCUUGACAUCCUUUGACAACUCUAGAGAUAGAGCUUUCCCCUUCGGGGGACAAAGUGACAGGUGGUGCAUGGUUGUCGUCAGCUCGUGUCGUGAGAUGUUGGGUUAAGUCCCGCAACGAGCGCAACCCUUAAGCUUAGUUGCCAUCAUUAAGUUGGGCACUCUAAGUUGACUGCCGGUGACAAACCGGAGGAAGGUGGGGAUGACGUCAAAUCAUCAUGCCCCUUAUGAUUUGGGCUACACACGUGCUACAAUGGACAAUACAAAGGGCAGCGAAACCGUGAGGUCAAGCAAAUCCCAUAAAGUUGUUCUCAGUUCGGAUUGUAGUCUGCAACUCGACUACAUGAAGCUGGAAUCGCUAGUAAUCGUAGAUCAGCAUGCUACGGUGAAUACGUUCCCGGGUCU